AGGAGCGACCAUACCAGCACGAAUGCAUCAGAUCCCAUCAGAACUUCGAAGUUAAGCGUGCUUGGGAGAGAAUGGUACUAAGACAAACUUUGUCUCAGGAC
rnacentral:rRNA from 1 species